GAUGAACGCUGGCGGCGUGCCUAAUACAUGCAAGUCGAGCGAACAGACGAGGAGCUUGCUCCUCUGACGUUAGCGGCGGACGGGUGAGUAACACGUGGAUAACCUACCUAUAAGACUGGGAUAACUUCGGGAAACCGGAGCUAAUACCGGAUAAUAUAUUGAACCGCAUGGUUCAAUAGUGAAAGACGGUUUUGCUGUCACUUAUAGAUGGAUCCGCGCCGCAUUAGCUAGUUGGUAAGGUAACGGCUUACCAAGGCCACGAUGCGUAGCCGACCUGAGAGGGUGAUCGGCCACACUGGAACUGAGACACGGUCCAGACUCCUACGGGAGGCAGCAGUAGGGAAUCUUGCGCAAUGGGCGAAAGCCUGACGGAGCAACGCCGCGUGAGUGAUGAAGGUCUUCGGAUCGUAAAACUCUGUUAUUGGGGAAGAACAAAUGUGGAAGUAACUAUGCACGUCUUGACGGUACCUAAACAGAAAGCAACGGCUAACUACGUG
rnacentral:rRNA from 1 species